rnacentral:ncRNA from 1 species
ACGCGCUGGCGGGACUCGGUGAAAUUCCGAACCGGCGGUGAUCCGCUGCGAAAGCAGCGGUAAGCCCGCGACCCGGACGCCUCCUAGGCGGCCGGUGGACCUGGUGAGACUCCAGGGCCGACGGUUGAUCGGGCGAAAGCUCGGUCAGACAGUCCGGAUGGGAGACAGCGCGC